rnacentral:rRNA from 1 species
AGCAGCCGCGGUAAUUCCAGCUCCAAUAGCGUAUAUUAAAGUUGUUGCAGUUAAAAAGCUCGUAGUUGAAUUUCGGGAUCAAUAUGCUGGUCGUGCCAUUGGUACGUACUAGUAUUAUUGGUUUCUUCCUUCUGAUGAAUCAUGAUGUCAUUAAGUUGAUGUCAUGGGGAAUCAGGACUGUUACCUUGAAAAAUUAGAGUGUUUAAAGCAGGCUCGCGCUUGAAUACAUUAGCAUGGAAUAAUGAAAUAGGACGUUUGAUUCUAUUUUGUUGGUUUCUAGAAUUGACGUAAUGAUUAAUAGGGAUAGUUGGGGGCAUUAGUAUUCAAUUGUCAGAGGUGAAAUUCUUGGAUUUAUUGAAGACUAACUACUGCGAAAGCAUUUGCCAAGGAUGUUUUCAUUAAUCAAGAACGAAAGUUAGGGGAUCGAAGACGAUCAGAUACCGUCGUAGUCUUAACCAUAAACUAUGCCGACUAGGGAUCGGAUGAUGUAAUUUUUAAUGUAA